rnacentral:rRNA from 1 species
AGAGCAUAGGGUGGAUGCCUUGGCACCAAGAGCCGAAGAAGGACGUGGUCAGCUGCGAUAAGCCAUGGUCAGCCGCAAGCAGGCAAUGACCCAUGGAUUUCCGAAUGCGGAAACGCGGCACGUUAACAGCGUGUCAUCAUGUCAUGAAUAAAUAGUGACAUGAGGGGAACCCGGUGAACUGAAACAUCUAAGUAGCCGGAGGAAGAGAAAGAAACAUCGAUUUCCUUAGUAGCGGCGAGCGAAAGGGAAAGAGCCCAAACCGAGGGUCUACGGACGUUCGGGGUUCGGACUUGCAAAAAUCGAAGUACUUAUAGACGAAGAGGUUUGGAACUUCCUACCAAAGAGGGUAACAGUCCCGUAGUCGAAAUGAGUACAAGAGGGCGAGAAUCCAGAGUACCACAGGACACGAGUAAUCCGGUGGGAAGACGGGGGGCCCACCCCCCAAGGCUAAAUACUACUUGGUGACCGAUAGCGUAUAGUACCGUGAGGGAAAGGUGAAAAGAACCCCGGGAGGGGAGUGAAAGAGUACCUGAAACCCUAUGUUUACAAGCAGUGGGAGCGAGAGCGACCAUGUACUUUUUGUAGAACGGGCCGGCGAGUUACUGUGUGCAGCGAGGUUAAGUUGUUAAGCAACGGAGCCGAAGGGAUACCGAGUCUGAAAAGGGCGUAAAGUUGCAUGCAGUACACCCGAAACCGGGUGACCUAUCCAUGGACAGGAUGAAGCGACGGUAAGACGUCGUGGAGGUCCGAACCACACGUACGUGAAAAGUGCGGGGAUGAGCUGUGGAUAGCGGAGAAAUUCCAAUCGAACUCGGAGAUAGCUGGUUCUCCCCGAAAUAGCUUUAGGGCUAGCCUCGAUUUAGAUUACCGGGGGUAGAGCACUGAAUGGGCUAGGGGGCCACAAAGCUUACCGAACCCUAUCAAACUUCGAAUACCGGAUAAUUGAUGAUCGGGAGUCAGACAGUGUGAGAUAAGUUUCAUUGUCGAAAGGGAAACAGCCCAGAUCUACGACUAAGGUCCCAAAGUUCAAGUUAAGUGGAAAAGGAUGUGCAAUUGCGCAGACAACCAGGAUGUUGGCUUAGUAGCAGCCAUUCAUUCAAAGAGUGCGUAAUAGCUCACUGGUCGAGUGAUUGUGCGCCGAAAAUGUAACGGGGCUAAACUUGACACCGAAGUCUAGGCAGAAGGAAACUUCUGGGUAGGGGAGCAACGUGUACGGGCAGAAGCAGAAGCGGAAGCGACUGUGGACUGUACAGGAGAGAGAAUGCCGGCAUGAGUAGCGAGAGCAAAGUGAGAAUCUUUGCCGUCGAAAGCCUAAGGUUUCCUGAGGAAGGCUCGUCCUCUCAGGGUAAGUCGGGACCUAAGCCGAGGACAAUAGUCGUAGGCGAUGGACAAUCGGUUAAUAUUCCGAUACCGCCGAGCAACCGGAUGCAGUGACACAGAAGGAUAGGCAGAGCGUGGCGAUGGUAGACCACGUCCAAGCAGUGAGGCUGUUGUGUAGUGAAGUACGCACAACGUAAGGCUGGGCUGUGAUGGGGAACGAUUACGAUCGGUAAGCUGCUGAAUUCACGCUGGCGAGAAAAGCUGCUACGAAGCGAAGGCGCCCGUACCGCAAACCGACACAGGUAGGCGAGGAGAGAAUCCUAAGACGAGCGGGAGAACCCUUGUUAAGGAACUCGGCAAAAUGACUCCGUAACUUAGGGAGAAGGAGUGCCCAGGAAUGGGCCGCAGAGAAUAGACCCAAGCGACUGUUUACCAAAAACACAGGUCUGUGCGAAGUAGAGAUACGACGUAUACGGGCUGACACCUGCCCAGUGCCGGAAGGUUAAGGGGAAAUGUUAGGGCAACCGAAGCAUGGAACUUAAGCCCCGGUGAACGGCGGCCGUAACUAUAACGGUCCUAAGGUAGCGAAAUUCCUUGUCGGGUAAGUUCCGACCCGCACGAAUGGUGUAACGAUUUGGGUACUGUCUCAACAAGGGACCCGGCGAAAUUGUAGUAUGUGUGAAGAUGCACAUUACCCGCGAUAGGACGGAAAGACCCCGUAGAGCUUUACUGUAGUUUAACAUUGGAUUCCGGUAACAUAUGCACAGGAUAGGUGGGAGGCGGAGAAGCAGUGAUUUCGGUUGCUGCAGAGCCGACGUUGGGAUACCACUCUUGUGUUACUGGGGUUCUAACCUGUGGCCGUGAUCCGGCACAGGAACAGUGUUAGAUGGGCAGUUUGACUGGGGCGGUCGCCUCCAAA